CUAAAGGAUUUUCUGACAUGGAAGAGUUCAGGGAUCUUCAAGCUUGCCUUGAUGAAGUGAAGACAAAACUCCAAUCUGGUCCCGUGGCUACCUAAGUAUCAGGAAUGUGCUAUUUUUGAAAUUUAGUAACAAGGUUAAAUCUGCAACUAAAAAUUAUUUUAGUUUGUACUGUAGUGGAGACCUUAAGCAGGACUGAAUAUCUUGUAUUGUUGUAUCACCUUUUCUGUAACAAAACGGUCUAGUUUUACUAUUUUUAUUAUUUUUGUAUUUUCGGUGCUGUAACUAAUCUCAUUUGACAAUUUAAAUAUAUGGCUUCAAGUUCUUUAAAUGUAACAUCAAGUGUUGUUUCAACCUCUGUUCUUUUAUGUAUUUCUUGCAUGCGGUGAUUUCAUUAACCUCAAUUUAAGGACAAUUUCAUAUCUUUUUUCUUUCUGCUUUUCUUUUAUCAUUUAAAAACAACACACACACACACACACACAUUUAUAUUUCAGAAGAGGAAAUUGCACGGGAUAUGACUCAAUACUUGCUAAAUGCCAAGACUAUGACCCAAUUAUUUACAUGCCGAGACUAUGACCGAAUAACAAGUGAAAGUACACAAAUAUCCUUAUAAGUAACUAAGUUAAAAAUAUAAAACUUGAGUUAGGAAGUUUAGGAAUGCAUUGAACUUGUAUUCAUUACUUUGAUUAAUCCAUUUACCGUUAUACAAGACAAUAACACGUACCAUAUCCAUUUACAUAAAAAUUAUGAGUUGACAAAGUAAGAAUAUUAACAAAAAUAAGUUGUUAAAAGUUCUUGUAGACUUCUGUGCUUCAGUUCUAGACUUCUAGAUUUAUAGACUUACCUACAUGUCUAUAAGUCUAGAUGUAAAGAAGUCACGAAAACGAUAACAAUGAUAAACAAACUCAAUUCAACAACAAAUUUGAUGUGUAAAAAUUGUGUUGAAGAAUUUUUUGGAAUCUGUUUGAAUUUGUUAAGGGAAUGUGAUGAUUUUAGUAAGUGUUUGAUAACAACUUAGAAUGUUGGACGCAUUAUAGUGCUGGGUGCAUGCUUUUGUUGGAAAAGAUAAGGGCAUUUUAGACUAGGGAUCACCAAAAUGUCAUACAAAUUUAAUUGAGUAAAAUUUGUCAUAUUUAUAUAAAAUGUACAUGAUUUUGUCAUAUAUAAAUAAAAAACCCAUUUCAGAAAGCAUUUAAACAAAGCGAGAGUACAAUAAAAAACCCAUUUUAGAAAGCAUUUAAACAAAGCCAGAGUACAAUAUAGAAAGAUUUUACUCAUUCUAAGUGUGUACCAAACAAAGAAAUGAACUCUCCUUUUCUAGUUAUAUAAUUAUUACAUGAAAUUAAUAAAAACAUGACGAAUUAUAAUUCCUUGCGAUAUAGUGGGGGUUAUAGAAAAGUCAAGAGUUGCUAGUGGAAGAUAAUAGGGAGAGUACAAUAUAUAUAUUAUGAACAUUCACAUUUAUUUUAAUAAAUUCAUAGCAUUUUUUUUGCUUAAAUAACAGGGUGUAUGUAUAUAUAUAUUGACAUAAAAAUUGCAUGACGUGUGGUUUAGCGUUUCUUGGUUGUUCAGUGCUAGUUUUAUGUCAAUUUUUAUUGACAUAAAAAUUGCAUGACACAAAAAAGGCUGUUUUAACCAACUAAAAACCAAAAGCUAAAACCCAAAACCCCCCUCUUUUUCGUUUUCCAGGGACUUCACCUUGAUAUUCAACCAACACUUCUGAUGUCUGCCCUUCAAUAAACCAAGUCAUUCAUACACAUGAUUCUACUAUUGGUGAUGCCUCUGAUGUUUUUGUGACCCCAAAAUUAUUGGGGAAUAGUCAUGAAUCUGAAUCUGGAGUCCAAUGCAUUCACGCUGGUGGCUCAGCAGCCCAUUUAAAGGCAAUCCAACAGGCAGUGAUCUUGUCGAGGUGCCUUCUAAUAGAAAAGAGCUCAUGGCAAGAUGAAAUGCAAAGUAAGUUGUUUUAUGGUUGGCCGGUGUGUAGUCAUCUCGUUAAAGGCCAUAAGAUGUUUAGCAUAUUGCUAUUUAAUUUUUAAAUCAUUCUCAGUAAUAAUUCCUUUAGUAGAUUGAUGAUAAGAGAUUGCAUUACAGAUGAUAACGGAGCACAAUUUUUGUAGUUGUAUCCCUGUACAUCCAUCUUAAUAUCCUCAUUAUAUUCACAUGCCUUUUACGGGUGUUAUUUCUGGAUGCCGAAUGCUUUGCUCCACGUCUGGAUACCAAAUGCUUUGUUCCACAAAGCUGAGCUGGUUGAAAAGCUAGCUGAUGAGGUCAACACGUCCCUUAAGUAAUUUGAGGAUGAACACUGUGUUCCCGAAAGUCUUACUCUAAUGAUACUUAAAGAAGCAAUGAGAAUGGAUGUUGCAGCAGCUUUGCUGAACUCAACUCCAGUUCCAAAAAUGGAACAUGUGAAAACCGAAAAUGCAUUGUUUUUUUUUUUUUCCUCUUUAUGACUUCUCUAGUUGGGGAAUGUAUUAGAUAUUCACCUAAUCAGUAGGCCUUGAAGGGAUCCCAUGUUAGCCCCUUGAUGUUGGUCUGUAACUAAGUAAAUACUUGACCUUGAAAAAGCUUUUGGAGGCAUCAGUUUCUCUCUGACUGGUGCUACUUUUUGGAUCUGUUGAUUUGGUCAUUUGCUGAUUUAUAGUUUGUUUUCUGAUUCAGGAUGGGAUAUGGCUCCAUACAUAGAGGCAACUGAUUCACAGCAGUCGUCAUGCUUCAUUGUAAAUAUAUAUACAAUACAGCAUCAGUUUUUCUUGAUUUUAAAUCUCAUAUUCUGAAGUGGUACUUCUGAUUCUCACAUGAUUUUUCCAUCUUUCAGCUAAAGUUUUUCUGUGAUCUCUUACGUAUUAGAUGGGAAUCCACCCGCAGUCGCACAAAAGGGCGUGCUUUAGAGAUGAUGGACAAACUGGUAUGAUCUGUGAGCCUUUUCUUCUUAAAUAUUUUGUUACCUAAACCAUUUUCAUUCAAAUUGACAAGUGUUGCUUAUCAAUCUAUAGAAGAUUCCAAACUUUCUGCAGCUAGUACUUUAUUGGACCCAAAAGCUUUUUUGCUUUUUCUAAGCUGCUAAUCAGGACUAGGUUUCUCUCCCUUAUAUCGCUAGAUAUCCCAUUAAUCGUUUGAUUUAGUUGUCUAGAGAGAUUAGGUACUUGCAUCUUCGCUUUUCACUUCACAAGUGAUUUCAUGUGCUAUCCUGUAUUCUGGUUCAAGAUUUUUGAAGGUUGCUUACCAUCAUAUUUUGCUUUGUUUCAGGUUGAGGGCAUUUCUAAUUCUUCUCCCGGUGUGACUCAAAGGAUUCCCUUUUGUUAUGUGAUUUAAGUUCCAACUAUUCCUACCCUGCGAAAGUAAUACUAUUUCUUUUGCUUCUUUGAAUGAUUGUGAUUUAAUUUUCUUGUCAUUUUGCCAACUAUCAUUAUGCUGUCAUUGUUUCAUAUCUUAUUUGACAUAUGUUGAUUUGGUUAGAGUUUAAUUGCUCUGUUUAUUCUCUUUAUAAUCUGUCUAUUUCGAUUUUUCUUGAUUUUAGGGAAUAUGCUGAACUUUUAGUAAGCUGUGGCUUGAUUGGAGAGGCUAUUAAAAUUUUUGAGGAUCUGGAGUUGUGGGAUAAUCUAAUAUACUGCAACUGGUAUGAUGUCAUAGAUAACCAUUAUCCUAAUCUCUCUGUCUGUCUGUCUGUCUCUAUCUCUCUCUUUCGUGUUGCUAAUGGGAGUUGGUUUUUUGUAUGAUGUAAAAAACAGCCUAUUGGGGAAGAAAGCAGCAGCUGUUGAACUAAUAAAAGCAAGGCUGUCUGAAAAGCCUAGUGACCCUAGAUUAUGGUUGGUUAAUGAGCCUUUUCUAUGAUCCAUUUUAUAGUUACUUCUCAUUUCAGUUAAAUCCAUUGUUGAUGUCACUUAUUGCAAUCUAGGGAUAAUUGUUCAUUGGUUGUAAGGAUAUUGUCAGAAGAAAAUGAAACCUUUUAAUUUUGUCUUUUACUUGCUGUAGCCGAUUUAAAAGCUCACUGUGCGUUCUUACUGAUUGCUUUUGGUCUUGCAUUUGAGUCAAUGGAUUUUAUACUCAUAUUCUGACAUUUAUUGUUAGUCUUCUGACGGUUCUGCACCUUGGUCCUAUAUUAUCUUCAGCAGUAUUAUCUAAAAGAUAAGUUUUUGCCGAAGAAAAUUUGCAUUCUAAACUAGAAAAUGAGGGGCCGGGGGGAGGGGGGGGGGGGGGUAGGUUGGGAGGCAACGGGAGACUGUUUUCCACUUAUCCUCUUCCCUGCCUGCAUUUUAGAUGAUUUUGAUGCACCAGGUGCCGUGAAAUGGUUGAGAAAUACAUACCAUCAAGUGAAUUCUGAAAAUCAUUUCCUUUUUGAAAAUAUUUGGUGCUAGACAUUUGAAUAUAUGGCCACAAUUUAAACAAUAAAGAUUUUCUGCAUUGAUUUCUUAUAAUGGAUAGAUGCAUGUAAGUAAAAUAUGAUAUCUUUUGAUUAUUGGCCCAUUUGUUCAGAAAGAAGGAAAAAAAAAAAAAUACAUGGUUGAAAGACAACUGUUACUUGACCUUAUGAUACAUUUUGUAGGUGUUCAUUAGGUGAUGUUACAAAUAAUGAUGCCUGCUAUGAAAAAGCUUUGGAAGUUUCGAAUGAUAAGUCAGCUCGAGCUACGGUGAUAUUGUAGUUCACAUUAUGCUUGUGCCGUGAUCAUUUUUUAGUUAACAUAUCUUUAUGUGAAUCAGAGGUCUCUAGCUCGUAGUGCAUACAACAGAGGGGAGUACGAGACAUCUAAAAUCCUUUGGUAUGUUGCUUUAAUGCUUUACUUCUCUUUCUGCCACACAGUAAUUUGCUGCAUUGACAACUGAUACGGCUGAAUGACAAUUUACCCUUGGUUUUGUCUCGGGGAGGCUGCCAUGGCCUUGAAUUCUUUGUAUCCGGAUGGCUGGUUUGCUCUUGGUGCUGCUGCAUUGAAGGUAUCAUAUUUUUGUAUUAGUAUGUGUUUAGUGUGAAGCAAUUUCUUAUCCUUUUGCCCCAAGUUUCUGAAACUCUCGGCUGAAAUAUAAAUACAGGCUCGGGAUGUUGAAAAGGCUCUGGAUGGGUUUACUCGGGCUGUUCAACUUGAUCCAGACAAUGGGGAAGCUUGGAACAAUAUUGCUUGCUUGUAUGCUCUUUUCUUUGUCAUCAUGUCAUUCCAUCCUCUUGCUCUGUAUUCUUUAAUAUUGUGUCAAUCACAUUCAUCUUCUAUCUGCAAGAGUAUGCUUCCCAUAUUUGGUUUACUUUGUUUUGACUUUCUUGUUGCAGUUGUUCUAUAUAAAUUUUAUAUGGUUCCAUAUUCCCUUGAUGAGUGAAUUUAGUUGCUGCAAAUGUUAAGAACUAGAUAGUACUGUUAUAAUUAGGAAUAGGGCAAAUAUUAGCCAGCUCUUUUGAGGAUUAUCCAUAGCAUAUACCUCCGUCGUUUUCAAAGCGAUUGAAGUUCUCCCUUUUGUCUUAUUUAAAAGAAAAAAGCACAAAUUGCUUCCCUCACAUCUAUCUACAGUCUCUUUUCUCUCUGUUUAAUUUUUUCUUGUGCUUAUUAUUUGUCUUUUAAUGCAUCUUUUCUUCUUAUUUUAUACUGUACUAGAAUUUGUGCUGUCUCGAUUUUAUCUUGCAUGUGAGUUACUGUGUUUUUCGCAAUUGUAGAACUUUAUUUAGCAGCAUAAUUAUUAGUUAGUGAGACAUUAAUUGGUUAAUACCACUUGUGAAGAUACGAAGAGCUACUUAUUCUCUCUUCUAGUACAUUUAAAAAAUUCAUGACAAAAUAUCUGGGAUGGUAAAAUUCUCGUCAAUUAUAACUACGGAAGUCUUGAGAUUUAUGUAGUCUUGCAGGCAUAUGAUCAAGAAGAAGAGCAAAGAGGCUUUUACAGCAUUCAAGGAGUCCCUAAAGUUGAAGUUCUGUCUUUUUUCCCCCUGAUCACUACAUUUUUAUUUUCUGUCAUGCACAAUGCAGUCGGACACUAUCUGAUCACAAGAAAACUGUCAUACAUAAUUUGUUGCUGCUAGGCAAAAGGUGAUAUCUAAUGUAAUAACCUAUAACAUGAUUUUGUAACAGACGGAACAGUUGGCAAUUGUGGGAAAACUACAGCCAUGUUGCUUUGGAUGUGGACAAUAUUGGUCAGGUAACCGCGGUUGUGCGCUUAAUGUCCAUCAUUUAUCACUGAAAUCUUUUGAGAUGAAGCUGGCAUUUCCUUAGCCACCCUCUGAUGGUUUUGAUUGCUUCAUGUAUGUUGUCAUCUUUGUCAACUAAUGAAAGCUGCAGAGAUUUUGUCAUCUUUUCAUUUAAAAGAAUUUGAUAGUUUAUAGCCCAUUGUCAUGUUUGCAUAUGUAUGUUAUUGUUCUUUUGACCUUUUUGUACCUCAGCUUCAUCCUUUUAUGCAAGCAAUUCUUUGUCAAGAAAUAUCUGGUUAACAAUUUCUUCGCAUGAAUAUUUUUACGGUCAUCAAGGUCCUUGAACAGUCAUGGUUAAUUGAUUACAGAUUCUCAAAUUUAUAAUUAUUUUUUUCAGGGUCAUUGUCCUUUGAUAUAUGCAAUUGAUGCAUGACUUUCUAACCAUUAUCUCCCUGCCUUCACCAUGGUCGUAUAAAUAUUUUGACAAGUGGGGAUUUUAUGAUUACUGUGUGCUAGGAAUUUUUUUGGUUGGAAAGAAAUGGGAGGAUUUUUCAAGAAGCUAGGGAGGGAAGACACCAAAUUUUUUUUGGUGGAUAAAGCCUGCUGUCACUUUGGGCAUCAAUUUCUAAUGAAUGCAAUAAUGUUCCUUUCUUUGCUAUUCAUUAAAAUUGAGUUGUUCUUCUUGGAUGGCCUUCUUUUUACUUCCCAUCAUUUUGCCAGCUUGUUGAUUGUCAUUUUUGCUUGUUGGCAGUCUUUUCCUGCAGUGUUGAUAAUAUUUAAUUAUAAUAUUAGACAACAGUGUCCUCAACAUGAUCUCUCUCCCAAAUUAUUACUCUUUUAUUCAUUAUACUUUUAGCAGUUUCUUUAUUUUUGUUAUAUUUUAUGUUUUCAGGCUCUAGAGGCUGUGCAGAUGGUGUUGAACAUGACUAAUAAUAAACGAAUUGAUACUGUAUUAUUAGAAAGAAUAGUGCUAGAUAUGGAAGGAAGGACUUCAAUUAUAGAAUCUGAGUCUUGCAGGACUACCCAUAAUCUUAACAGAACUAAUAACACUUGUGCAAAAGAUUAACCUGUAGAAUCUGUCCAUGUAUCAUCACCUGAGGAGUCAAUCAUGGGAAGAUCGCGAGAAAAUGAGCACUUGAUGGAGUUUCUUGGGAAAAUUCUUCAGCAGGUUGCACAUGGCUCCAUGAUCAUCUUUUUUCUGUCUUUUAAUACUGAGCCAAGGGACAGUCUCUCUCUUUCACGCAUAUCCACAACACAUGUACAUAUUUCUCAUAUUUCUAUGCGUAUAUAUUGUCAUUUCUGAUCUUUCUUAGUUUAUAUGAUAAUUGUCUUUGGGCAUAUGAUUCAUAUUUUCUGGGCACCCUAUGGUCUGUGGGUCAAUAAUAAUCCAUAGUAUCUGAAUUUCUAGACAAAAUUGGUCAUUUUAGCAAAUCAUUUGGAUGUAUCUAUGCAGCAGUUUACUAUUUUAGUGCUUGCAGGAAUUGGUAUGCUUAAAUUUUGGGCUUAAAUUGUGUGAAAAUAAUCAAAGUGAUAUGCAAAUUAAUUCAAGCCACAUGAGGAAAGAAUAUCCUUUUUUUUUUUUUUCAGCUUAUGUUACAUGUUUCUGUGUAUGGCAUAGGUAGUUCGAAGUGAGAGUAGUGCAGAUAUGUGGGGAUUAUAUGCAAGGUGGCUUAAAAAUAAAGGAGAUCUUACAAUGUGCUCUGAAGCCCUCUUAAAGCAAGUCAGAUCAUAUCAGGUUUCUCCAUAAACCUCAUCAUCUUAUAAUAAGUUAGCAUUAUGUUUUACUUUGAUGUUGAUGGAAUUUGUUAAUGCUAAUAAAAUUUUGUUAAUCUCUCUCUCUCUUUCUUUUUUAAAGAAGGCAAAGAAAAAGCUUUGUGAUUUCAUUUUUGUUUUCUAAAUUUGUUAUCUAAAGGAAUGACAAGUUUACAAUUCAGCCUCUGUGUGUGUGUGUGUGUGUGUGUGUGUGUGUGUGUGUGUCUGUGUCAGGGAUCUGAUUUGUGGAAAGAUAGAGAUCGGUUUAAAAGGUUUUCAUAUGCAUCCUUGGAACUUUGUAAGGUUUACAUGGAAAUUUCUUCCUCUUCUGGUAGCCGUCGAGAACUCUUUACUGCUGAGAUGCACCUGAAGAACGUACUUAAACAAGUAAAACACCUUAUAAUUCGAUAUUUAAGACACUUACAGUUGGUUUAAAGAUUGCAUUUUCCAUUUCUUUUUUUGACUGGUUCAGGGUAAAACUUUUUCUCACUGUGUUAGAGUGCAUUUCUGUUAUUAUAUAGUUUCUUAGAAGAAAAUGCACUUUUUGGAAUCUCAGGCUGAAGGAUUUUCUGACAUGGAAGAGUUCAGGGAUCUUCACGCUUGCCUUGAUGAACUGAAGACAAAACUCCAAUCUGGUCCCGUGGCUACCUAAGUAUCAGGAAUGUGCUAUUUUUGAAAUUUAGUAACAAGGUUAAAUCUGCAACAAAAAAUUAUUUUAGUUCGUACUGUAGUGGAGACCUUAAGCAUGACUGAGUAUCUUGUAUUGUUGUAUCACCUUUUCUGUAACAAAACAGUCUAGUUUUAUUAUUUUUGUAUUUUCGGUGCUGUAACUAAUCUCAUUUGCCAAUGUAAAUAUAUGGCUUCAAGUUCUUUAAAUGUAACAUCAAAUGUUGUUUUCAACCUCUGUUCUUUUAUGUAUUGCUUACAUGCCGUGAUUUC
rnacentral:lncRNA from 1 species